rnacentral:rRNA from 1 species
UACGGAGGAUGCAAGCGUUAUCCGGAAUGAUUGGGCGUAAAGCGUCCGCAGGUGGCUAUGUAAGUCUGCUGUUAAAGAGUGAGGCUCAACCUCAUAAGAGCAGUGGAAACUACAUGGCUAGAGUGCGUUCGGGGCAGAGGGAAUUCCUGGUGUAGCGGUGAAAUGCGUAGAGAUCAGGAAGAACACCGGUGGCGAAAGCGGUCUGCUGGGCCGCAACUGACACUGAGGGACGAAAGCUAGGGGAGCGAAUGGG